rnacentral:rRNA from 1 species
UACAGAGGUCUCAACCGUUGUUCGGAUUCAUUGGGCGUAAAGAGCUCGUAGGCGGUGUGUCGCGUCGGCCGUGAAAACCUGCAGCUUAACUGUGGGCUUGCGGUCGAUACGGGCAUCACUGGAGUUCGGCAGGGGAGACUGGAAUUCCUGGUGUAGCGGUGAAAUGCGCAGAUAUCAGGAGGAACACCGGUGGCGAAGGCGGGUCUCGUGGGCCGAUACUGACGCUGAGGAGCGAAAGCGUGGGGAGCGAACAGG